rnacentral:rRNA from 1 species
UACGUAGGGACCUAGCGUUGUCCGGAAUCAUUGGGCGUAAAGCGCGCGUAGGCGGCCCGGUAAGUCCGUUGUAAAAGUCGAAGGCUCAACCUUCGAAAGCCGAUGGAUACUGCCGGGCUAGAGUACGGAAGAGGCGAGUAGAAUUCCUGGUGUAGCGGUGGAAUGCGCAGAUAUCAGGAGGAAUACCCAUAGCGAAGGCAGCUCGCUGGGACGUUACUGACGCUGAGGCGCGAAAGCGUGGGGAGCAAACAGG